rnacentral:lncRNA from 1 species
CUUUGAAAUUCCUUAUGUCGCACUGGCAAAGUAUGAAAUAGCUGCUGUAUGCUCACAGUUGUUCCUUGCUGCCGUGGAUAAGGAGCUUUCUGGGUAAUCUUACCAUUGUGAUCAAAUACCAAACGAGUCCCAACCUUUGCAGACUUAUGGCAAGUCGAAAUGGUAACAUCACUUAAUGCACACAACGAACUGAGAGCUUCACCUCGAAACCCAAAUGUCUCAACAUGUAUUAGAUCAGAAAAAUCUUGUAUCUUUGACGUAUAAUGUUUCAGAGUUAAUCCUUCAAAGUUUUCCUCUUCCACUCCACCUCCGUUAUCUGAAACCUCUAUCAGCUCCGCCCCGUGGUCUUUAAGUCUUACAUCGAUGUUGGUCGCUCCGGCGUCCAGGCUGUUCUCCACCAGCUCCUUCACGGCCGUGCCCAGGCUCAGCACCACCUGCCCCGAGCAGAUCCGGUGCACAGACUCGCGGUCGAUGCGCUUGAUGGUCUUGGCGGGCUCCGAGCACGGCGCGGCCUCCUCCAUGGAUCCCCACCGCUCGCCUCGGCCGCCCG